CAAUAGUUUGCUUAGACAUUUCGAUUUCUUACUAAGUUUUGUGUGUUAGGAAUCUGAAUUGGAGGAUCUUCAAUCUCAGAUACAGGUAGCACAAGUGCAAACGGAAGAAGCUCAAAACAUGCAGAAACGGCUCAA